rnacentral:rRNA from 1 species
UCAAGCUGUAAAGGGCGCAAGGGGAAUGCCUUGGCACUGAGAGCCGAUGAAGGACGCGACAAGCUGCGAUAAGCUACGGGGAGCCGCAAAUGGGCUUUGAUCCGUAGAUUUCCGAAUGGGGAAACCCGGCAGAGCAAUACUCUGUCAACAUGUACUGAAUACAUAGGUACAUGUGGGGAACCGCCUGAACUGAAACAUCUAAGUAGGGCGAGGAAGAGAAAUCAACCGAGAUUCCGCUAGUAGUGGCGAGCGAACGCGGAAGAGGCCAAACCGGAGGUAGCAAUAUUUCCGGGGUUAGGACUGCAAUAUGUAACUUUAAUCUUUAACUGAAUGCUUUGGGAAGAGCAGCGACACAGGGUGAUAGCCCCGUAAGUGAAAAGGAUUGAGUGCUAGCAGUAUCCAGAGUACCAGCGGACACGUGAAACCCGCUGGGAAGAUGGGGGGACCAUCCUCCAAGCCUAAAUACUACUCAGUGACCGAUAGUGGAGCAGUACCGUGAGGGAAAGGUGAAAAGUACCCCGGGAGGGGAGUGAAAGAGAACCUGAAACCUUGUGCCUACAAGCACCGAGAGCACGUUAAAGUGUGAUCGGGUACUUUUUGUAGAACGGUCCGGCGAGUUAAUAUUUGCAGCGAGGUUAAGUAACUGGAGUUACGGAGCCGCAGCGAGAGCGAGUCUGAAUAGGGCGUAUGAAGUUGCAGGUAUUAGACCCGAAACCGGGUGACCUAUCCAUGAGCAGGCUGAAGCGGUGGUAAGACACCGUGGAGGGCCGCACCCACGUCUGUUGAAAAAGCCGGGGAUGACUUGUGGAUAGCGGAGAAAUUCCAAUCGAACUCGGAGAUAGCUGGUUCUCCCCGAAAUAGCUUUAGGGCUAGCGUUAUUUUAGAUUACCGGAGGUAAAGCACUGAAUGGUCUAGGGGCCGCGAGGUUACCAAAGCCUAUCAAACUCUGAAUGCCGGAUAAUUGAUGAAUAGCAGUCAGACUGUGUGAGAUAAGUCUCAUAGUCAAAAGGGAAACAGCCCAGAUCUACAGCUAAGGUCCCAAAUGAACACUAAGUGGAAAAUGAUGUGAAACUGCGAAGACAACCAGGAUGUUGGCUUAGAAGCAGCCACUCAUUCAAAGAGUGCGUAAUAGCUCACUGGUCGAGUGGUUUUGCGCAGAAAAUGUAACGGGGCUAAGUGUUCAACCGAAGCUUAGGCAUUGCAGUAAUGCAUUGGGUAGGGGAGCGUCGUAUGCGGGGCGAAGUCAGAGCGGAAGCACUGGUGGACUGCAUACGAGUGAGAAUGCCGGAAUAAGUAGCGAGAAUUAUGUGAGAAUCAUAAUGGCCGAAAAUCUAAGGUUUCCUGGGGAAGGUUCGUCCGCCCAGGGUUAGUCGGGAGCUAAGCUCAGGCCGAAAGGCGUAGGCGAUGCACAUACGGUAGAAAUUCCGUAACCACCGAACUUUAAGCUAGAGGGACGCUUUCUUUAAGGUUAUCCCGGGCGAUGGUUGCCCCGGGCGCAAGGGACCGAAAUUUAGUAGGGAAGUAACUGGCGAGAGAGACGAGAAAAGCUCUAGUGUAUACUAAGGUGCCCGUACCGCAAACCGACACAGGUAGAAGGGAUGAGUAUUCUAAGGCCAACGGGAGAAGGGUUGUUAAGGAACUCGGCAAAUUGGCCCCGUAACUUCGGGAUAAGGGGCGCCUGCGAGAGCAGGCCGCAGUGAAAAGGCCCAAGCGACUGUUUAGCAAAAACACAGCUCUCUGCUAAAUCGAAAGAUGACGUAUAGGGGGUGACGCCUGCCCGGUGCUGGAAGGUUAAGGGGAGUGCUUAGCGCAAGCGAAGGUGCGAACUUAAGCCCCAGUAAACGGCGGCCGUAACUAUAACGGUCCUAAGGUAGCGAAAUUCCUUGUCAGGUAAGUUCUGACCCGC